rnacentral:lncRNA from 1 species
AGCUCCAACUGGGGCGACUUGUGGAGGGUGGUUCCUGGGACAACGCCCAUGCCGUGAUCAGGAACGGGGUCAGCAGGAGUCAGGUGGGGAAGUGCCAGGUGUCCACUGCCACGACCAACACGUUACUCACACUCACGGCACAAGAAUGGCCUCUGUACCCUGUGUGUAGGCAUAUCCAGGCACAGUCGCUUGUAUGUCUGAGACCUCAAGCUGGAGAGUGCUGAUGGCCAACAUGCUGGUCACCUCUCCACAGUCCUUCCUCCUCCUGGACAACACCCCUGCUCUCUCUGGAUGGUCCUGAGCUAAGCCCGGAAGAUCCUUCCUGCCAUGUCCCCCUCCAAUCAGAGCCGACCCACACUGUGUCCCUCCCAGUGGCUCUACUGCCUACUGAACACGUGCACCAUCACCGCCGUGGGGCCCACAGAGUCAAGGCUAUAAAGAGGGACUGAGAACACCGUGACGCCCUGGCCUGCGCACCCUCCUCUGCUCCAUCUGGGUCUGUCCGGAUGGCAGAGGCUCAGAGGGUCUGCCCCUACCAGAUGGUGGAGGCUCAGAAUGUCUGAGCCAGAAAAAGCAUGAAAGAAAACUUAGCCUUCCUCCUCCCAGUUAACAGGCUGGGUCCUGAGGGCACAGUGUCCAGCACGGAGGACACACAGUAAAUAUUCCCAGAAGGAGUGAUGGGUGAACGAAUAAAUAGAAUCUCACCCUGCCACCAUGAUUAAAUUCAGCCCCAAACUUACCUGUCCCAUUGUUUCCAUAUCCUGCCACCUCUGAGGCCUAAUCUGAAGAACUGAUUUGUGCCAGUGGACGAGCACUAUUUCUCUAGGUGAGACAUGCAGGUGUCAACAGGAAAUGUCCUGAGAUGUAAUUCUUCAACCCAGGAAGCCACUCCAAUCAAGAGAACAUAAAGCAAUGGUGAUGGGAUGUGGGGGUUCCAUGGGGCUUGGAUGCCCUGAGGAGGGCCUCAAAUCACAGAAUGAUGAAGGUCUUCUGGAUGCAGUGGCAGGGCAGGAGAGGUAUUGCCCUGGGACUCGAGAUGGGACCACAGCCAAUUGCUCACUCAGCCAUGGCCUGUGGGUCUGACACUGGGACCUCACUAACCCUCUUUUAACACUCCUAUCUGUAAGUAGGGAUCAUGACCCACACUUUGCAGGGGUUCUGAUGCUGCAAAAUUCUGGCGCUUUCUACAUGAUAAGGUCUUUGCUCACCAAAUGGAAGAGACUGCGUGCAGGUAGCAUGGGCCUGCCUACUGCAGGUGGGGUGCUUUGGGCUGCAAGUAACAGAAAAUCCAACUCAAAGUGAAUUGUGUGAUAAAGACAAUGCACCACCUCGCUUAUCAUGGUCUGAGUUCCUCCAUGAGGGUUGCCGCCUGGUGCGUCCUCUGUAAGCUCCCUGAAGCAGGGGCCUAGGCUGACCUUUUUUCUCCACUGCCCCCGAGAGCAUAGACCAGGGCCUGGCACAGAGAAGGCGUCCAGUGAGGAUUCCACCCAGGACACCAUCAAACCCUCAUCGCUACAUGGUCUAUUAAGUUGUGUUCCCCCAACAGCAGUUAAAGAAACCAAAGCUUGGCCAGGCACGGUGGCUCACGCCUGUAAUCCCAGCACUUUGGGAGGCCGAGGUGGGUGGGUCACUUGAGGUCAGGAGUUCGAGACCAGCCUGACCAAUAUGGUGAAAUCCCAUCUCUACUAAAAAUAAGAAUACAAAAAUUAGCUGGGCGUGGUGGCAUGUGCCUGUAGUCUCAGCUACUCAGGAGGCUGAGACAGGAGAAUUGCUUGAACCUGGGAGGCGGAGGUUGCAGUGAGCCAAGAUUGCGCCAUUGCACUCCAACCUGGGCAAUGAGAGUGAAACUCCGUCUAAAAAAAAAAAAAAGAAGAAGAAGAAAGAAACUAGAAACUAAAGCUAAGGGAAGAUAAAUUACCUGCAUGACAUAUUGAAGCACACAGAGGACAGUCCUGGCAUUCCCUACUCUGGGCUCUGGCCAUAACCCUGACAACCCUGCUACUCUACUGUCCUCCCUGGCCUCUCUCAGGCCAGUUUGUCCUCAGAUCGGGCAGUGUGGGAGUUGACAAACCAGUCAACCCAGACUCAGAUGACGCAGAAGUCUGCCCAACACAGAAGUCCACCAACCAUUGCAUUGUGAUCAUUGCACCGAGGACAUAAAUUCAGCAACAUGUGCUGGGUCAGCUGCCUCGUUUUUCUCCAAAGUAGCAAAUUUAUGGGGCACACGUGCACAUGGGUGAUUAUUUCCCAAUAGUUUAUAGUAUCAAGCCUCCUUUCUUUCCUCCCAAUAAAUCUAAUUUAUAUGGAUUGGCAGAUCAAACAGUGCAUUUCCUGGCAUCGAGAGGCUGUGAGUCACUCACAGUGCUUUAGGAAACUUGGGGAGAUUAAGGUUUUGCAUAAUGCAAAUGCGGAUGGAAACAUAUUUGGACUGCCUCGCUGUGGAUGCAAUUAGAGCAAUGAGCACCAGGAGAAAUACUUUUUCCCAGGACACAGCAAGGUCUGCUUGGUAUGCAAAGAGCACAGUUAUUUGCGACACCAGAGCCUGGAACGUGGUGAGCAAAGCACCCAGUGACGGUUUGAUUUGCAGCUUUAAGGAAUUCAAAGAUGAAUAAAACAUUAAAUUAAUUGCCAAAGAACUGUUGCCAAGCCUGCAUGAGAUCUAAUGAAGGCACACAUGCAAAAAACCAACACACACAGAACAACAAACCAAAACUGGGCCUGCGGGAUGCUACCUGCCCCAAGCCCCCGAAACCACAUUUGGUUUUGAGUAUUUUGUCCUACUUGGAAUUUUCUCUCAUCAAUACUCAUCUCAAGUCCUCUCAGCCACGAAAGCUCUCUCCGCUUCCCCCAGCCCACAGGACGCUCCUUCGACUGUUUCCUUGUUCACUGGGGAAAUGUUGACUGAGCACCUGCUAUGUGUCAGGCACUGCUUUCCCAGACGCUGGGGAAACAGCACUGAACGAACCAGGCCACAAUCCCUGCCCUGGUGGCUGCCUUCCUGCGGGGAGUAUGAUAAUAAGCAAAAUAGAGAAAUUAAUAUAUUGGAAAGUGCUCAGUGCUACGGAGAAAACAAAGAUGAAGUGGGGAUAGGAAAUGCCGGGAGGUAGGGUCAAUCGCAGAUUGAGGCAAAGGGGUCAGGGAGGUCCCAAGAUGGGGGACAUUUGUACAGAUCCCUGAAGGAGGUGAGGGUGGUGACUACGAGGAAUGUCAGGCAGAGGGAAUAGCAAGGGGAGAGGCCCGGAGUGGAGGUUCCCGAGUGUUUGAGAACCUGUGGAAGCUGGUGUGGCCGAGUAAGUUAGGGGGAGAGUGAUGGUGAUGCACCCAGACAAGGAGCAGGACCAAGGUCACAUAAAGUCAAUGCAUUAAUUCACCUUUCAAUUCAUUCAUUCACUUACUCAACGAAUCUUUUGAGGCUCUACUGUGAGCCAGGACCUGCUAUUUUAGAUCCUGAAAAUCCAACAUUAGACGUGACAGGCAAGGUCCCAGCUCUCACGGGGCUGUGUAAUGGUGGCUGAUCCGGGAGCAGGAGGGAAGUUACUUUGUUGAGGUGAGUGGGGAAGCCCAAUCGCCACUCGCCUCUAGGUCCACAAUCCCAGCAGAAUUCCCUCUUUUGUUUGCUCUUAGGUGAUUCUUGUCUUCCCCAUAAGCCCAUUUAGCAGAUGAGAAAACUAAGGUUCCUUUGGAAUGGAAGUCCUGGCUUCUCUCCAUAAAGUCUGGAAAUUAGAGGGAGUAGAAUUAACUCCCUUUUCCUUUGCACAGGGCCAGCAUGAGGCUUUGGGGAGGUUCUGAGGCAGGAGACAUCCUACGUCAUCUCCACAGGUCAUGAACCCUAUAGCAUCUCCCACCAAGAGGGUCACGGACCCUACAGCAUCUCCCACCAGGAGGGCCAUGACCAGCCUCUGGGGCUGUGCUGCUGCAUGCCAAGGAGUAGCUGAAUCCUAGGAGUGGAGAAUCCCCAGCCUGGAAGGGGACCCCCUCCACCGACUGCCAUCACUCUGGGGCUCUCUGGCUUGAGGGCUCUCUGGGGCCACGAGGCCAGGCCUCCUCUCCACGUCCAAACAGGCUGGCUGGGUGCAAAAUGCCAUGGUGCUUGCUCUGGAUGGGCUGGAGUUUUCCCUAUUCAGGGGCCAGGGCAAUGGGUGGAGGGCCUGGGUAGAGAGGCAGAGCACGGUUGCGUCCAGGCUGUGCCACCCUGACCCUGAACUCAGGCCCACAGGAGGCUCCAGGCAACAGCUGCUCUCUCCUCUGCUGGGGCCUCCUGCCUGGAAAGCCUGCUCCCACCCACAAUGCCUAGAUUCCUCCCUCCAAGCAGCCUUAGAGACCCCUUUGGGAUCCAGAUCUGCUCUGCUCCUCACCCUGGGGAUCUGGGUGUCACUUUAAAUAAAGGGACCGCUCGUGCUCACCAGGCUGCGGGAUAUUCAGAGGCUGGGCUGGCAGUUCCCAUCCCGUGGUCGCAGAGUGCUAUGGAGGGGAGAUAAUAGGUGUGAUUUCUGUGCAGAGGAUGGACAGGGCUCCAGGGACAGAGGAUGCAGGAGUGACAGGCAUCAUCAGAUACCAUUUGUCCAGCAGCCGCUCCAGCCACCUGGUGUGGAUGUGGCCUCGUGUCCAUACUCUCCAGAGCACCCGGCUUAGUGGCUAUCUGCCUGGCUGUCUCUCCCAUUUUCAUGUGAAAGGGGGCCAGGCAGGACAUGGGGUCUGGGGACUGCCAUCUCCUCCUGGGGGCUGCACUGUGCUGACAGUCUUGUGUCCCCCUGACAGGGGCUGCACAGACGGGCCAGGCAGAAGUGAAGGAGAAGAAGGAAGCCAACAGAAGGUGGCUUUCAGGGCUGGUCACGCAGAGGGUGGAUUCUGACGGGCAGGGCUGCUGUGGGUGGUGGGCACCAUCUAUGCUCAUCCCUGCCCAGGCAGCUCUGGGCUCCCCCAGCUCAGGUGGGCCCCCUCCUCACCCAGGGCGCAGCUGUGGCUGGCAGCAGGCAUUCACCCCCUUCUCAGCUGCUCAGCCAUGGAACCAGGAGCUAACUCAAUUCCUCUGUCCCCAAAGUCUGUGCCCACCAGGCCAUCCGCCUCAAACACUUGGUGGCCAAGGCCUGGGGAUGGUCCCCAGGCUGCAUCUGGUCAGUGGUCAAGAGGCUGCACCUCUAGGAGCCUCCUCUGUCACUCACCCGCCCAGGCCUGGACAGCCUGGACACUCCAGCCAGAGGCAGCCCAGAGGGUGUGGGAGGGGCUCUCUGGGGACAGAGCAGGAGGGGACACUGCUGUGACCCUGUAGCUGCAGACAUGUGUCUCCACGAAGGGAAGAGGCUGCUGUCCACUGUCGCUUUCUGCAGUGACACUGUGCCCUGGCCCGGGCUCUCUGCUGGGUUGCAGAAGUGCCUGGGUCAGGACAGCUCGCAUCUGCCUUCACCGCAGACCCCUCUCUGCAGCCCAUCUGAGGCAAUGUGGCCUCUGCUGUCCAAGACUCACUUCGAGGGGAUCCUUUUCCUUUUUUAGUGGAAACCUGGUGUCCUCCCUUUGAGUGCUUUUAGGGGCUGGGGAGGAGGUGGCUAUUGGCGGCAGUGCGGGGGCUUCAUGCUCUGCCUGCGCGCAGCAGAGAACACGGCUUCAUUGGUGGGAUUUGUCUGGUGACUGGGCAGGUGGGUCGCCUGGACACGUGCUCCCAGCCUUCAGAUGUGACAAGGAGGGGACCAUUUGCGGGGUUGCUGUGUGCUGGGGACAGAGCAGAAAAUGCCAGGCGGCACCAUUUUUCCCACUCCCCACCCGCCCGUGCUCACUCAGAGGGAAUGUACAGAUAUUCUGUUUGUAAUUAAAAAGUAAUUUAAUUAUCCGCUGAAAAUGAGGUUUCAGAAUUAAUAUUGAAAUGAAUUCUAGCUGUGCUGUAUGAUGUCUUUUCUCCCUGCUCAUUAGAACAUCGGGAGGGGUGAGGAGAGAAGGCCCAGGAGGAGGGGCGUCCUUCCCAGGCAGCUGUCACAGGCCCCUAGCUGAGCUCUCAUGGCAGACACAGCCCAGGACACUCAGACCCAGAGUGACUACGAGCCCCGGCAAGACGUGGAGGAGCAGAGUUACAACCCGUCAAGAGCCUGAUUUCAGGUUGAAACCAGGCUUCACCAUGCAGCAGCUGUGUGGCCUCAGGGAAGUUACUGAACCCCUCUGAGCCUCCCAUGGAAAAUAAGGAUGAUGGUUCCCCUCACAGGGUUGUCGGGAGGAUUCAGUGUCCUCCUUCAGGUCUUGACUCGGAUGUUGCCUCUGAGUGAGGGCGUCUUUGGCCACCCCAUUUAAAGUGCCAACCCUGACACUUCCUCCCUCCUUUCCCCUCUGUCCUCUUCCUGGCUCUUAUCACCAUCAGACAAACCAAGUUUUCACUUCUUGAUCAUUGUCCAGCCCCUGCUGUGAAAUGUGAAGUCCUAAGACACAGGCUUUUUUUGUUUGUUACGUUCAUUGCUUUAGAAGGAAUUAAGGACAAGCUACCCCAAAUGACGUCACUUUGGUAUAUGGAUUAUUUUGAGCUGCAGGCACUGGAGAAACAGCAGGUGCAGGCAGGGCCUUCGGACCUCCCCUUUUCUAACCAAGAACAGGCCAUGACAUUUCCCACGAGAUACACACUCCCUUUGUACCAGGAAGAGAACAUCCUUAUCACCAAACACUGGGAGUGGAUGCCGAGGUGCAUCUGCACAAACACACUUAAUAAAAUAACCCUUUGCUUCCACCAGUUUUACUCGUUUCUCCCCCACGAAUCUUCCAGUUCCUCCCCCACGAUUUACUGCCCCCAGUCCAAACCUUUUUGUCUCAUCAUUUCUUCACA